rnacentral:lncRNA from 1 species
AGGGAGGCCACGAGGGUUCCAGUGUCAACUGGACCUCACAACGUCACUCGCAGAACCAUGAAAGCGACGUGACGGACAGAUUAGGGCUGCCCUGGGCAGGGAUGGGAGUGGGUGGCAGAGGAAGCCUGUGACCACCAGUUCUGUGUCUUGAUUGUGGCAGUGUCAGCUCUACACUAGGUGGACUGAAGGUCUCAUGAGGCUCUCCAGCAACUUGAGCCAAGGUCAGUUCCUGAUUUUGCCACUUCCUGCAGCUGUGCAAAAGCCUCCCCCAGAGAGGUGGAGGGGCCAGGUGCCCUGCCUGCAGCAGGGGGACCCUGUGCCCUCCUCCCAGUGCCCUCAGUGUGGACCAGCAGCACGCAAUUGGCCCGCCGUCCGUGUUUAUGGGCCAUGCAGUCGGCCUGCUGUCUGUGUGUAUGGGCUGGUGCCUCCUUUGUAGCACCAUCUUUGUACUGGGCCUCUGGUGGGUACAGCAAGGGUCCACACCAGUGCUGGGACACCAGGGGGUGGCACUGACCUGGGGUACAGGCAGCCAUGGAGCAGGAUCCACAGCCGGGGCUGACUUGCGUUGUACCGGGGCCGUGCCAGGCUCCCUGUGCUGCCACAGCACCCUGACCCGGAGGACUAGGAGCCAUCUGGUUCUUUUAGGCUUUCUCCACCUAUUUUCCAGCAGGUGGACCACAAGUCACUGAAGCCACAACGUGGAACAGGGCAGGGGCUGAGCCUUGCUUUUGCAGCUUCCUGGGGUCAAUCAUUGAUUGACAUAAAAAUGUGUCAAACGCACAUCUUCCCCGUCCUGCAGGGACUCUUUCCCCAUCCUAUGUGCGACUCUUCUUUGGUUGAUUUCCCUUUUUUUCAAACAUACACACAUACUUGUUCUGGCUUUUAUGAAAUACCUAACUAAUGACCAGGGAAUAAAUUCAAAUCAAAGACGCCCUGGAAAUAUGAGCUUUCUCCAGGGAAACGCUGGCACCCACCCAAACAACAAGGGUAAAAGCUUCUGAGAAUAUUUCACCUGCAGCAGCACAUCUGUUUCCGCAGGCCGUGUCCACCCCGAGUGAGAAAUAUGGAACACAAGUGCUCUCCACGCAUCAGAGCCUUAAAAUAACUUUCUGAAUUAUGUGCCGGCAACAUAACAAAUCACAUUAUCAAUUAGCUUCUACAGCAGAAGUGGCUUUCUGUAAUAUAUUCACGCAUGAAAAAAUUGUAUAGGUGAAAUUUAUGUAACCCUAAAACUAUAAGAAGAAAAAAGAUCUCGAGGGAUUUAUUGGUAAUAAUGGGAGACAGGAGGCAAUUCGAAUGGUAGAUGGCCUGAGACAGAGCGCCCGGCUCUGAGGGUUCUGAACACAGCAGAGAGACCAGGUCAGCAAAGGGCGCUGGGCUCAAGGGCCUGGCCUCCAGAAGACGACCUCCCCAGCAUGCCCAGCCUUGGGCUGUCCACUGCCAGUGACCCUCGUGGGUUGGGGCAGCAGGGAGGAGAGGAGUCGCCUCCUGGAAUCAAAGCUGAGGGAUGCACCUUGGAUGGACAUUAGGGACCUGGACCAAGCUAGAUCCUGCUGGGCUCACGGCCUCCAGCAGGCCACUCCACAGCCCAGCUCCUCUCCUGGAGACUGAGCAGGCACCUGCUGUGCCUCCUGGGAGGUGAGAGAUGCCCCUGGGCAGGGCGGGGAGGAGCAGGGCCUGAGGCCUGAGCCCCCACCUAGACCUCCACUAUUAAUGUCCUUAGUUUUUCUCUUGAAAUUUUC